rnacentral:rRNA from 1 species
UAGGGAAUCUUCCGCAAUGGGCGAAAGCUUGACGGAGCAACGCCGCGUGAGUGAUGAAGGUCUUCGGAUCGUAAAACUCUGUUAUUAGGGAAGAACAAAUGUGUAAGUAACUAUGCACGUCUUGACGGUACCUAAUCAGAAAGCCACGGCUAACUACGUGCCAGCAGCCGCGGUAAUACGUAGGUGGCAAGCGUUAUCCGGAAUUAUUGGGCGUAAAGCGCGCGUAGGCGGUUUUUUAAGUCUGAUGUGAAAGCCCACGGAUCAACCGUGGAGGGUCAUUGGAAACUGGAAAACUUGAGUGCAGAAGAGGAAAGUGGAAUUCCAUGUGUAGCGGUGAAAUGCGCAGAGAUAUGGAGGAACACCAGUGGCGAAGGCGACUUUCUGGUCUGUAACUGACGCUGAUGUGCGAAAGCGUGGGGAUCAAACAGG